CUGCGGAGGACAUUAUCGUAGGGCUUCGGCCCUGUCGAGAUAGAACCCUUGCCUUUUUGAGUACCUUUCGUUUCCUCGGCAGGCUCGCCUGCCAAUGGGGACCACAAAAAACACUUUGCAGUACCUGUAACAGUCUGAACAAACAAAACAAAAAUUAAAACUUUCAACAACGGAUCUCUUGGUUCUGGCAUCGAUGAAGAACGCAGCGAAAUGCGAUAAGUAGUGUGAAUUGCAGAAUUCAGUGAAUCAUCGAAUCUUUGAACGCACAUUGCGCCCUUUGGUAUUCCUUAGGGCAUGCCUGUUCGAGCGUCAUUUAAACCUUCAAGCUAAGCUUGGUGUUGGGUGACUGUCCGCUUCACUGCGGACUCGCCUCAAAAUUAUUGGCGGCCGGUACAUUGGCUUCGAGCGCAGCAGAAACGCGAACUCGGGCCCGUCGUAUUGGCUCCCAGAAGCUAUCUUCACAAUUUUGACCUCGGAUCAGGUAGGGAUACCCGCUGAACUUAAGCAUAUCAAUAAGCGGAG
rnacentral:rRNA from 2 species